AUUCAUUCGAAAACAAUAUUUUGUGCCGAUUACAUUGCUAGAAUAAUUUUAACAUUAAAAUUUUUUAAGUACCAACAAUUAGAUAUAGCCGUGUCCGUCUGUCUGUCAGAUAAAAGAUAAAAAGGACGAUAUCGAAGGUGACGAUGCGGGAUGUUUGAAAGUGAACUUGAACCCAAAAAAAAGAAGCACAAAAUCAAAAAAAAUAAAUUUUUUUUCUUUGCUUCUAAGUUGUAGUCAAAUCGCACAGAAUUUUUAAUUGCACCGAUGACACUUUUGACAAACAGAACGAGCUCUGACUAUUACCUUUAAAACGUACAUUACAUUGCAGUCUUUACAAAUACAUUUUGAUUUGGGGAUUAUGGGAGCAAAUAUAAUUAUUCAAAUUAGGAAGCUUUUUAAUCUGGACUGGCAAUCUCUCACUUUAACCUGAUAACACUAGGAUUCUUAACUGGAAUGCAACUGCAAAAAACGAAUAUGUUAAAUUGUCCGCAAACACAAAAGAAACAUCAUAAAAGCAAAGGAGAAGCUGCAGAUUGCGUUGCAAAUUUGAAUUUGAUAACAAAAAUACCUUCAAAAUCCAUUACCAAUAAUUUAAAUUUGGACAUCCACCCGCGCCCGCCGCGCCUCCUCCAUCUCCAGCCACGUCAGCAGAAUUGGCUUCAGUUUUAUCACGUUUUUGUGCGACAGCUCUAGGUUCUCCAAAUUAGAGAUUGUGGUCUGCGUCAGUGGUCUAACGCCAGGCAGCUCGGCCAGGGCCUUGCCCACAUAGUCUUGCGUGAGUUCUGCAAGAGGCGAAGUCGAAUGUCAAAUUGAUGGGCUAUCCUUGGCGAUUCAAUGCGAACUGACGUGGAACUGGGAAAGAUUGCGAUCCUAAGAUGAUGUGUCAAUACAUUUCUGUAUAAUGCAAAAGCAACUCAAACGGUCAACAGUUAUUUGCGAGCUCUGAUUUUGAUUCAUUCUGAAUAAAAAUUGAGCUUAAUCAGAAAGAGCUAUUUUUCAAGCUGUAAUCUGUUAGAUCAGAUGCGUACUAAGACUGAGGCGUCGCUCUUUGAAACGCAAAUAGUUCCAGAGCUAAAGGAGAAUUGUCCAUGUCAACAUGUAAAUUAGUCCUUGCGACAGCUGACGUGAUGAGAGGUUUUCGAUUUCGUAUUGGUGACGUGAUGAGAGGUCUCCGCCUUCGAUUUCGUAUUGGUCCUGCUCCAUUUCCGCAUAUAAAAUAGAUUUGCACUUAAAUCUACACGAUUAAAAAGCUAUACGAUUCCCGUC